UAUAUACUCCCUCCGUCCGGAAAUACUUGUCCGAGGAAUGGAUGUAUCUAGAUGUAUUUUAAUUCUAGAUACAUCCAUUUGUAUUCAUUUCUACGACAAGUAUUUCCGGGCGGAGGGAGUAUGUG
rnacentral:pre_miRNA from 1 species